AUUGAACGCUGGCGGCAUGCUUUACACAUGCAAGUCGAACGGUAACAGGCCGCAAGGUGCUGACGAGUGGCGGACGGGUGAGUAAUGCAUCGGAACGUGCCCAGUCGUGGGGGAUAACUACUCGUAAGAGUAGCUAAUACCGCAUACGAUCUAUGGAUGAAAGCGGGGGACCGUAAGGCCUCGCGCGAUUGGAGCGGCCGAUGUCAGAUUAGGUAGUUGGUGGGGUAAAGGCUCACCAAGCCAACGAUCUGUAGCUGGUCUGAGAGGACGACCAGCCACACUGGGACUGAGACACGGCCCAGACUCCUACGAGAGGCAGCAGUGGGGAAUUUUGGACAAUGGGCGCAAGCCUGAUCCAGCAAUGCCGCGUGCAGGAAGAAGGCCUUCGGGUUGUAAACUGCUUUUGUACGGAACGAAACGGCUCUGGUUAAUACCCGGGGCUAAUGACGGUACCGGAAGAAUAAGCACCGGCUAACUACGUG
rnacentral:rRNA from 1 species